GGUGGCUCAGUGGUAGAGCACUUGCCUUGCAUGCAUGAGGCCCUGGGUUCUAUUCUCAGCACCU
rnacentral:tRNA from 1 species